rnacentral:lncRNA from 1 species
UUUGGUGUCGCGUUUCACUCAAAUUGGAUGCUGUAAAGUAUUAGGAGUAGCAUUGUUAGUGUUAGGAAUAAAGUAUAUUAAUAUGUGGCUUGGGGAGUGAAUUCAUAUCACACUGAAUAUUUAUGUGUUGAUCUAACUCAAACUGAGCCAUGCAAAGUGUUAGAAAUUGUUCUUUCUAUUACAAAUUCUUGGUAUUCUAAAGUUCACUGAUACAGCUUGUGGAAAUCAGUGGGCCACAAUAUCAAACUGUAUGAUUGUCUGGUGUUGUAUGUAGUUCAAACUAUUGGAAAUCACAUCUUGUAUCCUCUUUGUUGGUAUUCUGAAAUUCACUCAAGUGGCUUGGGACUUUGUUGCAUUAAAUAUUUAAAAUGCAAGCUUGAGCUGGUUCACAGGAAAUUUGUUUGGUAAAAGGGUUCUUACUGCUAUCUUAAAAAUCAUUGAAGAAUAUUGGGAGAAUUCAAGUACUAUAAUGUCAUACUCUCAGCUACAGGUAGCUUCAUUGAACUAGAUUUUCUUCUAUCAGGAAAAGUGUCCUCUUCAGUAUCUUAGAAUUUAUUGAAUUACUUUAGAAAUGUGACUCUUACUUUGGAAGUUUAAUGUUGAUACAAAAGGCAUGAUAUAUGCUUUACAACAACAAUUUAUCUUUGAGUACUUCAUUGUCUUGAUAAUCAAUUAAUACAAUCUGACCAUCAUUGGAUUACUUGAGCAAUCUACAUGUAUAAGUAAUGACAAUAGAAUUUAAGUACACUAUGUAUCAUAGGAAGAGGAAUAUAUCUUUCAAGCAUGAUUUAGAUAAAAUCGACUGCGUUAAUUGGGUAUGCCGUUUAUUACAAAUGAGCUACUUAUGUGCUCUUGCUAGUCCAAUAUGAUCAAUUACUCUCGUCUAUGCUAUGUUUAUCAAUUGUAACAGGCAAUUAGCUUCCAACUGUUCGUACAUUACCAACUUGUCGAAGAGAAAAAGAAAGGAUAGAGGAAAUUGAUCAACAGACUGUGAAUUUUGAAGCGUUUAUGAGAAAACUUGCAGUUUCUAAUAAAAUAUUCAAUGUAAAGUAUUUGUUACAAUAUUCAGAUAGGAUAAGGAAAAACUGAAUCUGUAUAAUUAUUCAUAGCUUAUUGACCAAUUAUACGACGAGUUCAUUCAGGAUAUUAGAGGUAACUCGAGGUGUAGUAAAUGUGAGAAUUUAUUAAGAACGGUAUAUCUGGUGUACGACACAUUUGCACAUGUUAAAUUAAUUAAAUAAAUAUAAAAAUCAUGCGAAAUCCUAAAUGAAACGUUAGCCAGCCAACUGUGUCAUUAAAAGCAUCUUCUUCUUUCUUUUUUCAA